rnacentral:tRNA from 1 species
GGGGGCGUGGUGAAGUGGUAUCAUAAGAGUCUCCAAAACUUUUGUCAGAGGUUCGAUUCCUCUCGCCCCUG